rnacentral:tRNA from 1 species
AACAACAUAGUUUAAGUUGUAAGAUGGUUGCUCUGCAAGUAGCUGGUGAGAGGGGUCUCUGUUGUUG